UUAAGCGACUAAGCGUACACGGUGGAUGCCCUGGCAGUCAGAGGCGAUGAAGGACGUGCUAAUCUGCGAAAAGCGUCGGUAAGGUGAUAUGAACCGUUACAGCCGGCGAUGUCCGAAUGGGGAAACCCAGUGCAAUUCGUUGCACUAUCGUUAACUGAAUACAUAGGUUAGCGAGGCGAACCGGGGGAACUGAAACAUCUAAGUACCCCGAGGAAAAGAAAUCAACCGAGAUUCCCCCAGUAGCGGCGAGCGAACGGGGAGCAGCCCAGAGUCUGAAUCAGCUUGUGUGUUAGUGGAACGGUCUGGAAAGUCCGACGGUACAGGGUGAUAGUCCCGUACACCAAAAUGCACAGGUUGUGAACUCGAAGAGUAGGGCGGGACACGUGGUAUCCUGUCUGAAUAUGGGGGGACCAUCCUCCAAGGCUAAAUACUCCUGACUGACCGAUAGUGAACCAGUACCGUGAGGGAAAGGCGAAAAGAACCCCGGCGAGGGAGUGAAAAAGAACCUGAAACCGUGUACGUACAAGCAGUGGGAGCACCUUCGGGUGUGACUGCGUACCUUUUGUAUAAUGGGUCAGCGACUUAUAUUCUGUAGCAAGGUUAACCGUAUAGGGGAGCCGCAGGGAAACCGAGUCUUAACUGGGCGUUAAGUUGCAGGGUAUAGACCCGAAACCCGGUGAUCUAGCCAUGGGCAGGUUGAAGGUUGGGUAACACUAACUGGAGGACCGAACCGACUAAUGUUGAAAAAUUAGCGGAUGACUUGUGGCUGGGGGUGAAAGGCCAAUCAAACCGGGAGAUAGCUGGUUCUCCCCGAAAGCUAUUUAGGUAGCGCCUCGUGAACUCAUCUUCGGGGGUAGAGCACUGUUUCGGCUAGGGGGUCAUCCCGACUUACCAACCCGAUGCAAACUACGAAUACCGAAGAAUGUUAUCACGGGAGACACACGGCGGGUGCUAACGUCCGUCGUGAAGAGGGAAACAACCCAGACCGCCAGCUAAGGUCCCAAAGUCAUGGUUAAGUGGGAAACGAUGUGGGAAGGCACAGACAGCCAGGAUGUUGGCUUAGAAGCAGCCAUCAUUUAAAGAAAGCGUAAUAGCUCACUGGUCGAGUCGGCCUGCGCGGAAGAUGUAACGGGGCUAAACCAUGCACCGAAGCUGCGGCAGCGACACUAUGUGUUGUUGGGUAGGGGAGCGUUCUGUAAGCCUGCGAAGGUGACCUGUGAGGGUUGCUGGAGUAUCAGAAGUGCGAAUGCUGACAUAAGUAACGAUAAAGCGGGUGAAAAGCCCGCUCGCCGGAAGACCAAGGGUUCCUGUCCAACGUUAAUCGGGGCAGGGUGAGUCGACCCCUAAGGCGAGGCCGAAAGGCGUAGUCGAUGGGAAACAGGUUAAUAUUCCUGUACUUGGUGUUACUGCGAAGGGGGACGGAGAAGGCUAUGUUAGCCGGGCGACGGUUGUCCCGGUUUAAGCAUGUAGGCUGGUUGUCCAGGCAAAUCCGGAUAAUCAAGGCUGAGGUGUGAUGACGAGGCACUACGGUGCUGAAGUAACAAAUGCCCUGCUUCCAGGAAAAGCCUCUAAGCAUCAGGUAACAUUAAAUCGUACCCCAAACCGACACAGGUGGUCAGGUAGAGAAUACCAAGGCGCUUGAGAGAACUCGGGUGAAGGAACUAGGCAAAAUGGUGCCGUAACUUCGGGAGAAGGCACGCUGGUGUGUAGGUGAAGCCCCUGCGGGUGGAGCUGAGACCAGUCGAAGAUACCAGCUGGCUGCAACUGUUUAUUAAAAACACAGCACUGUGCAAACACGAAAGUGGACGUAUACGGUGUGACGCCUGCCCGGUGCCGGAAGGUUAAUUGAUGGGGUUAUCCGUAAGGAGAAGCUCUUGAUCGAAGCCCCGGUAAACGGCGGCCGUAACUAUAACGGUCCUAAGGUAGCGAAAUUCCUUGUCGGGUAAGUUCCGACCUGCACGAAUGGCGUAAUGAUGGCCAGGCUGUCUCCACCCGAGACUCAGUGAAAUUGAACUCGCUGUGAAGAUGCAGUGUACCCGCGGCAAGACGGAAAGACCCCGUGAACCUUUACUAUAGCUUGACACUGAACAUUGAGCCUUGAUGUGUAGGAUAGGUGGGAGGCUUUGAAGCGUGGACGCCAGUCUGCGUGGAGCCAACCUUGAAAUACCACCCUUUAAUGUUUGAUGUUCUAACGUUGGCCCCUUACCGGGGUUGCGGACAGUGUCUGGUGGGUAGUUUGACUGGGGCGGUCUCCUCCCAAAGCGUAACGGAGGAGCACGAAGGUUAGCUAAUCCUGGUCGGACAUCAGGAGGUUAGUGCAAUGGCAUAAGCUAGCUUGACUGCGAGCGUGACGGCGCGAGCAGGUGCGAAAGCAGGUCAUAGUGAUCCGGUGGUUCUGAAUGGAAGGGCCAUCGCUCAACGGAUAAAAGGUACUCCGGGGAUAACAGGCUGAUACCGCCCAAGAGUUCAUAUCGACGGCGGUGUUUGGCACCUCGAUGUCGGCUCAUCACAUCCUGGGCUGAAGUAGGUCCCAAGGGUAUGGCUGUUCGCCAUUUAAAGUGGUACGCGAGCUGGGUUUAGAACGUCGUGAGACAGUUCGGUCCCUAUCUGCCGUGGGCGCUGGAGAAUUGAGGGGGGCUGCUCCUAGUACGAGAGGACCGGAGUGGACGCAUCACUGGUGUUCGGGUUGUCAUGCCAAUGGCACUGCCCGGUAGCUAAAUGCGGAAGAGAUAAGUGCUGAAAGCAUCUAAGCACGAAACUUGCCCCGAGAUGAGUUCUCCCUGAGACUUUAAGUCUCCUGAAGGAACGUUGAAGACGACGACGUUGAUAGGCCGGGUGUGUAAGCGCAGCGAUGCGUUGAGCUAACCGGUACUAAUGAACCGUGAGGCUUAACCUU
rnacentral:rRNA from 1 species